GAUGAACGCUGGCGGCGUGCCUAAUACAUGCAAGUCGAGCGAACAGACGAGUUCCUUGCCCCUUUGACGUUAGCGGCGGACGGGUGAGUAACACGUGGUUAACCUACCUAUAAGACUGGGAUAACUUCGGGAAACCAGUGCUAAUACCUAAUAAUAUUUCGAACCGCAUGGUUCGAUAAUGAAAGAUGGCUUUGCUAUCCCUGAUAGAUGUACCUGCGCCGGAUUAGCUACGUGUUAAGGUAACGGCUUACCAAGGCAACGAUACGAAGCCGACCUGAGAGGGGGGUCGGACACCCCGGACGUGAGACAAGGUCCAGACUACAACGGGAGGGAGGAGUAGGGAGACUAACGCAGUGGGAGAAAGCCUGACGGAGCAAAGCCGCGCGAGUGAUGAAGGUCUGCGGAUAGUAAAAGUCAGUUAUUAGGGAAGAACGAACGUGUAAGUAACUGGGAACGACUUGAAGGUACCUAACCAGAAAGCAACGGCUAACUACGUG
rnacentral:rRNA from 1 species